ACUCUGCCUAGAGCCGAAGGUCAAGGAAGUUGGUGACCUGGCGACAGGGGAGCCAGCGACCGCAGCCCCGGUGAACGGCAGCCGUAACUAUAAUGGUCCUAAGGUAGUGAAAUUUCCUGUCCGGUAAGUUCCAAGACAAGAAGAG
rnacentral:ncRNA from 1 species